rnacentral:rRNA from 1 species
UACGUAGGGACCGAGCGUUGUCCGGAUUCAUUGGGCGUAAAGAGCUCGUAGGCGGCUGCUCAAGUCGAAUGUGAAACCUCGAGGCUUAACCUCGAGCCUGCAUUCGAUACUGGGCGGCUAGAGUCUGGUAGGGGAGUCUGGAAUUCCUGGGAUGUAGCGGUGGAAUGCGUAGAUAUCAGGAGGAACACCUGCGGUGUAGACGGCUUACUGGACCACCACUGACGCUGAGGAGCGAAAGUGUGGGGAGCGAACAGG